GGGAGAAGUGCUACAAUCAGCAGGGGCAUUGACUCGCCGCUACUAAGUUUCGUUCACCGAAUUGCAGAACAAGCCAAGCGGGUUUCAGCACGGACACGCGCCUGCACGCGCGUACACGCUCGUGUUACAUCCGUUACGAAUACACGCGGGUCUCCACUCGGUUGAACGCGCACCGCUGACAGCGGGUCAUUUGCAACCGCGCUAUACACUUCGAUGUCGCGAUUAGCAACAACCUUCGUCCGAUCACAGAUUCUAUCCACCGUGUAUUUCAUGGCAAUAAUUAUAAUUUGCUGAAUUACGGGAAAAAACGAUAUCCCUCGAAGAACCGAUGUGCGACAAAUCGAUAUAAAGUUUUACAAUUUACAAAGGUUGGCUAUUAGAAUUUUAUACCGUAACAGCUUGAUGACGAUUGCCUGUAAAGUUGGAAAC
rnacentral:misc_RNA from 1 species